AUGUGUAUAAGAGACCGCUACAAUGGCGUAUACAAAGAGAAGCGACCUCGCGAGAGCAAGCGGAACUCAUAAAGUACGUCGUAGUCCGGAUUGGAGUCUGCAACUCGACUCCAUGAAGUCGGAAUCGCUAGUAAUCGUAGAUCAGAAUGCUACGGUGAAUACGUUCCCGGGCCUUGUACACACCGCCCGUCACACCAUGGGAGUGGGUUGCAAAAGAAGUAGGUAGCUUAACCUUCGGGAGGGCGCUUACCACUUUGUGAUUCAUGACUGGGGUGAAGUCGUAACAAGGUAACCGUAGGGGAACCUGCGGUUGGAUCACCUCCUUA
rnacentral:rRNA from 1 species